rnacentral:rRNA from 1 species
CCUACGGGGGGCUGCAGUGGGGAAUAUUGCACAAUGGACGAAAGUCUGAUGCAGCAACGCCGCGUGGAGGAUGACACAUUUCGGUGCGUAAACUCCUUUUAUAUAGGAAGAUAAUGACGGUACUAUAUGAAUAAGCACCGGCUAACUCCGUGCCAGCAGCCGCGGUAAUACGGAGGGUGCAAGCGUUACUCGGAAUCACUGGGCGUAAAGAGCGUGUAGGCGGGUAUAUAAGUCAGAAGUGAAAUCCAAUAGCUCAACUAUUGAACUGCUUUUGAAACUGUAUACCUAGAAUGUGGGAGAGGUAGAUGGAAUUUCUGGUGUAGGGGUAAAAUCCGUAGAGAUCAGAAGGAAUACCGAUUGCGAAGGCGAUCUACUGGAACAUUAUUGACGCUGAGACGCGAAAGCGUGGGGAGCAAACAGGAUUAGAUACCCCGGUAGUC